CCAGCAGCCGCGGUAAUUCCAGCUCCAAUAGCGUAUAUUUAAGUUGCUGCAGUUAAAAAGCUCGUAGUCGGUUUUCGGGCGGGUUGCGCCGGUCUGCCUUUGGUAUGCACUGGCGUGACCCGCUUUUCUGUCGGGGACGUGCUGCUGGGCUUCACUGUCCGGCACACGGAGUCGACGCUGUUACCUUGAGUAAAUUGGAGUGUUCAAAGCAGGCAUACGCUCUGAACAUAUUAGCAUGGAAUAACGAUAUAGGACUCUGGCCUAUUCGUUGGUCUGUGGGACCGGAGUAACGACCAAUGGGGGCAGUCGGGGGCAUUCGUAUUUCGUUGUCAGAGGUGAAAUUC
rnacentral:rRNA from 1 species